UACGUAGGGUGCUAGCGUUAUCCGGAUUUAUUGGGUUUAAAGGGCGCGUAGGCGGACUGUUAAGUCAGCUGUGAAAGCUUACGGCUCAACCGUGGAAUUGCAGUUGAUACUGGUUGACUUGAGUAUACAUGAGGUGGGUGGAAUUUGAUGUGUAGCGGUGAAAUGCGUAGAUAUCUGAAAGAACUCCAAUGGCGAAGGCGGCUCACUGGGGUAUAACUGACGCUGAUGCACGAAAGUGUGGGGAGCAAACAGG
rnacentral:rRNA from 1 species